rnacentral:misc_RNA from 1 species
AAAGCUUCCGCCUUCCUGCAACUGACCAAAAGCGAUGCCCGGAUUCUCCGUGUAAACAAAAUCGAGGAAGCCGCGAACGAUAGUUCGAUCAGCACCGAAUCGCAACGCGCGUACCGCCCACGCCUUGCUGGACUGAUCGACCAUGUAGAUGCCAAGGCUGGCGAACAGGUAACCGGCGCGCCAGCCGAAGCGUAAUGCCGGAGUUUGUUUAUCUUGAAUUUGGUUCAUUCAGUCGCUUGGCGCUUAGGCCUCAAGCACGGCAGUCUCUUUUUCAAUUUCUUCCAGAGCGCUCACACACCGUUCGCAGACAU